GAUCGACCUGCGAACGGAACGGAACUGUCAGUGCUAACAAGAGCCUCUUCGUUUCGUUGUGCUGUUUUUGGUGCUGAGUGUUUGUAAAAAGUUACUAGCUUUUGGUUUUGUUUUGGUGCUUGUGUACAAUAGAAUUACAGAGGCAUGGCCCGGGGGCAGCGGCGGUAUUCCCGAAAAAAUAGGAAAGCUGAAAUUUAGAAGAAAAAAAAUAUUAAAUAAAGAUAUAAGAAGAGAUGUAAGAAGGCAAGCUGACAAUGGGAUGGUAUGUCUGCAAAGCCAAUCAUAAAGAACCAAAUAAACUGCUUAUGGGCUUAUGGUUAUAUUAAACCGAUUGCAUGUAUCUAUAUACUCUAAGCAUGUAUCAUAUUUGUUUUCUCAGCCUCACACUUUAACUCAGGUUCGCUGAAGCAUCGGCAAGCUGAAUGUGAGAUGGUAUGUUGAUGUCCUGUACAUUGACACGGAAAUGAGGCAUUGAAGAUGUUAUGUUGGGGACAAUGCAUGAUAGAACAGUGAGUUUAUAAUCACUGUUGGCUGACUGGAUAGCAAAUCCAAAGUUUGAAAUGUGAUGAAUUGAUGAUUAGAGAUGAGAAAGCGUUUAAACUGAAUAAUGGUUAAUUGAUAAAGGAUAAUAUGAAAUAUUAUAAUCAUUAUAUCAAGAUUUAUAGUCAUCAACAAAAACUAGGAAAUACCUGGAUCCUCCAAUCUCCAUUGGCCCACAGACAUCGGCAUGUUUAUUACAUCCAGGGGUCCACUGCUCCUUGCACCGUUGUGACCAAAUGGCAGACGAGACUGCUUUCCUUCACAGAAUACAGGCAUAAUAAUAAGGCAUUAGUUUUCUUCACUUCCUGCCAACUGAUGAUCUGCUUCGCCGCCAUCUUGCCGCUAUGAUGGCAUUUUUAUGGCAAUCUGUCGGGUGUGCCAACAAUUUCUGCCAGUAUCAUGUAAUGACAUUGCAUGUGUAUUUAUUUAUAUUGUAAAUAUUGAUACCCCUGUUCUUGAAAACUUUACAAAAUGUUAUAUUUAAGCUGUGAAUUUUAUUCUUAGCAGUGCUGCAAACCUUAUAUUGUUGACUGUGCUACUCUCUGCUCAAAAAAGCACUUCCUAGCUCGGUACUAUUGUAGUUUACUGCAAGAUCUAUCAACUUUGUCUUCACUACGUCAUAAUGUACUCUGUAACUACGUCACCCGUAAUGGUGAUUCCCGAAUUUUCUAUUACCAUUAUCAUAGGGAAGUAUUUUUUGGCAAACCCGCUAGUAUUAGGCAUCCAAUCCACUCGUCAUCCACUUUAAAACCUGUUCCAGACAAUUUCUACGCCGCGCCGUUUCCAUUAUUAGAUUAGCGUCACAUAACUAAUUCAUAAUUAAUAAAUAAGGUUGUCUGGUAGAGAUUGCUAUAAGCAAUAAGGCCGCCUUUUUAAUCUGUUUUUAUUUUUUAGUUUAAUUUUGUAUGUUGAUCUAUUUUGGUGCAAAUAAAGAGUAUUGUAUUGUAUUGUAUUGUAUAAUUCGUCAUUGACUCGCUGGUGUCCAGACGAAUUGAUUUCAGGUUUCGCAAUAAAGUUAUUCUUCGAGAGAAUCCGGAAUCGUC